rnacentral:rRNA from 1 species
AUUGAACGCUGGCGGCAGGCUUAACACAUGCAAGUCGAGCGAGCGGCGGACGGGUGAGUAACGCGUAGGAAUAUGCCUAGUAGUGGGGGACAACAUGUGGAAACGAAUGCUAAUACCGCAUACUAUUCAAUGAGCCUGCGUAAGAUUAGCUCGUUGGUAGGGUAAAGGCCUACCAAGGCGACGAUCUUUAACUGGUCUGAGAGGAUUGCCAUUCACACUGGGACUGAGACACGGGCCAGACUCCUACGGGAGGCAGCAGUGGGUAAUAUUGGACAAUGGGCGCAAGCCUGUGCCAGCCAUGCCGCGUGUGUGAAGAAGGCUUAGGGUUGUAAAGCACUUUCAGUGGUGAGGCGUUAGCCCCAGAAGAAGCACCGGCUAACUCUGUGCCAGCAGCCGCGGUAAUAC